rnacentral:rRNA from 1 species
UGGGGAAUAUUGGACAAUGGGCGAAAGCCUGAUCCAGCCAUGCCGCGUGUGUGAAGAAGGUCUUCGGAUUGUAAAGCACUUUAAGUUGGGAGGAAGGGCAUUAACCUAAUACAUUAGUGUUUUGACGUUACCGACAGAAUAAGCACCGGCUAACUCUGUGCCAGCAGCCGCGGUAAUACAGAGGGUGCAAGCGUUAAUCGGAAUUACUGGGCGUAAAGCGCGCGUAGGUGGUUUGUUAAGUUGGAUGUGAAAUCCCCGGGCUCAACCUGGGAACUGCAUUCAAAACUGACUGACUAGAGUAUGGUAGAGGGUGGUGGAAUUUCCUGUGUAGCGGUGAAAUGCGUAGAUAUAGGAAGGAACACCAGUGGCGAAGGCGACCACCUGGACUAAUACUGACACUGAGGUGCGAAAGCGUGGGGAGCAAACA